CAAUAGUUACAUUCUUUAAAUUUAAAGAAAUUGGCGGUAAAUUAAUNGUCCAGAGGAACUNGUUCUUUAAAUGAUAUUACACAGUCUAUCUNUCCUUAAGUNAUCUAAUNAAUCUGUAUAUCGUCGUUUAGAAUAUUUUUAUAGAAUCAAUCNUCUNUAAUAAUNAUAUAAAAAAUCAGAUUAAGAUGCAGUNUAUAUUAAGGUUUGAAAUGAGUNACAAUCUAUAAAAUAAANCAUGAANCAUAUAAUGUAUAAUCGUAUAUGAAGGUGGAUUUGGAAGUAAUNAUUAAUNAAUUAGUUUUAAUGAAUAUGUUAACUCUAUUUUAUGU
rnacentral:rRNA from 1 species